CCUACGGGAGGCAGCAGUGAGGAAUAUUGGUCAAUGGGCGCGAGCCUGAACCAGCCAAGUAGCGUGAAGGAUGACUGCCCUACGGGUUGUAAACUUUUUUUAUAAAGGAAUAAAGUGAGGCACGUGUGCCUUUUUGUAUGUACUUUAUGAAUAAGGAUCGGCUAACUCCGUGCCAGCAGCAGCGGUAAUACGGAGGAUCCGAGCGUUAUCCGGAUUUAUUGGGUUUAAAGGGAGCGUAGAUGGGUUGUUAAGUCAGUUGUGAAAGUUUGCGGCUCAACCGUAAAAUUGCAAUUGAUACUGGCAGCCUUGAGUACAGUUGAGGUAGGCGGAAUUCGUGGUGUAGCGGUGAAAUGCUUAGAUAUCACGAAGAACUCCGAUUGCGAAGGCAGCUUACUAAACUGCCACUGACAUUGAGGCACGAAAGCGUGGGUAGCGAACAGGAUUAGAUACCCCGGUAGUC
rnacentral:rRNA from 1 species